UGGUUCCUGGUGUGCUGUGUGACUUGUAGUGCAAAGCUUCUAAUAUGCGGAGCUCCCUGAAGCAUUGUCUGAAAAUAUUUUAUGUAUUAGUAUGAACACUUUGUCACCAUGAGAUUAUCUUGAAGAUAUUCCUUUCCAAGUUUGCUUCUGGUUGUGCAAGAGUAAAGCAAACUGAGCUGAGGAAGGAGCUGGCAAUGAGGCCCAAAUGCUGCCAGUGAAGGCCUGGCCGUGGGCACUUCCCCUUGUGCUGUGUGCAUCUCCUGCACUGAGCAGGCUCAGUCUGAUGACUGAGCACAGGAGAUGGGCGGUGUAACAGCGCUGGGCUCUGCGCCUUCACCGCAGCCUUGUGCUGUGAGGGUGAGCCUGGGCUGCAAGUCCAAGUGUGUCCCUGGAUCAAUAAAUACUAACUUACUGAAUCCUGGGGUUUUGGUAGCUUCCAGUUCAAACAAAUGCAGCUGAAGGUGAUGAAGCGUUCUGGGCAAGUCUAGUCUUAAACUUUCAGCACGAGUACCAAUUUGGCAUCCAGUGUUACAAACAGGGUCCAUGCAAAAAGCGACGACCUGGGCAAAGGGGGAGACAACGAGAGCACGCUAACUGGGAAUGCCGGGCCUCGCCUGGCCUGUGGUGUCAUCGGAAUAGCCAAGUGCUGAGUGGUGUGCCUGAAGUGCUCGAGGCGACAUUGAGAAACGUGCCGGUGUUCAUCGUGGUCACCGUACUUGCUCUUCCUCGUUCAAGCAACAGAUUUCAGUUAAUCUCAUUACUACUCUGCAUUCUUGAGUAUCAGUUAAACUGGUGAAGACUGACUUAAUUUUGUAACGUGUAUAUUGCAAUUAAAGUGAUGUUGAUGGAAAAAAAAAAAAAUCCCUCUGCCGCAGAGCAGCUAUGAAAAAGUACUGAUGUAAGAAAGCAGCUGCCCUUCACGUAGGGAAAAAUAACCCAACUUUAAAAGUAGAACACACCUAUAUCAA
rnacentral:lncRNA from 1 species